rnacentral:rRNA from 1 species
GAUGAACGCUGGCGGCGUGCUUAACACAUGCAAGUCGAACGGAAAGGCUCCUGCUUGCAGGGGUACUCGAGUGGCGAACGGGUGAGUAACACGUGGGUGAUCUGCCCUGCACUUCGGGAUAAGCCUGGGAAACUGGGUCUAAUACCGGAUAGGACGAUGGUUUGGAUGCCAUUGUGGAAAGUUUUUUCGGUGUGGGAUGAGCUCGCGGCCUAUCAGCUUGUUGGUGGGGUAAUGGCCUACCAAGGCGUCGACGGGUAGCCGGCCUGAGAGGGUGUACGGCCACAUUGGGACUGAGAUACGGCCCAGACUCCUACGGGAGGCAGCAGUGGGGAAUAUUGCACAAUGGGCGCAAGCCUGAUGCAGCGACGCCGCGUGGGGGAUGACGGCCUUCGGGUUGUAAACUCCUUUCGCUAGGGACGAAGCGCAAGUGACGAUACCUGGAGAAGAAGCACCGGCUAACUACGUG